CACGUCUGUGUUCGGGAACUAGUUCUGGAGAAAUUUAACCAAGAAGCAUGGGACAAAAUAAUAGAGAAAAGUGGAUUCGACGAAAGGGUCGAUUUUAUGGUUUUUCACAAGUAUCUUGACGAGAAGACGUUUGUCCUCAUAGGAGCAGUGUGUGAGGUUUCUGGUUUGACGCUACCUGCCGUACUAGAAAUAUUUGGGGAGUAUUUCUUGACUUACUGCUUACGUCACGGAUAUGACAAAAUG